rnacentral:rRNA from 1 species
UACGGGGGGAGCAAGCGUUGUUCGGAUUUACUGGGCGUAAAGGGCGCGUAGGCGGCGCAACAAGUCACUUGUGAAAUCUCCGAGCUUAACUCGGAAAGGUCAACUGAUACUGCGGGGCUAGAGUGCAGAAGGGGCAACUGGAAUUCUCGGUGUAGCGGUGAAAUGCGUAGAUAUCGAGAGGAACACCUGCGGCGAAGGCGGGUUGCUGGGCUGACACUGACGCUGACAGCGCGAAAGCUAGGGGAGCGAACGGG